GACGAACGCUGGCGGCGUGCCUAAUACAUGCAAGUCGAGCGAGCAAUCUUAACGUAAUACUUCGGUAGGAAGUCAAGAGCGCGAGCGGCGGAUGGGUGAGUAACACGUGGGCAACCUGCCCUAUAGCUUGGGAUACCACUUGGAAACAGGUGCUAAUACCAAAUAAGCAGCACGAGCGCAUGCUCAAGCUGUAAAAGGCGGCUUUAAAGCUGUCACUAAAGGAUGGGCCCGCGGUGCAUUAGCUAGUUGGCAAGGUAACGGCCUACCAAGGCGAUGAUGCAUAGCCGAGUUGAGAGACUGACCGGCCACAUUGGGACUGAGACACGGCCCAAACUCCUACGGGAGGCAGCAGUAGGGAAUCUUCCACAAUGGACGCAAGUCUGAUGGAGCAACGCCGCGUGAGUGAAGAAGGUUUUCGGAUCGUAAAGCUCUGUUGUUGGUGAAGAAGGACAGGGAAAGCAACUGAUUCUUGUUUGACGGUAAUCAACCAGAAAGUCACGGCUAACUACGUGCCAGCCGCCGCGGUAACA
rnacentral:rRNA from 1 species